UGGGUAAUACCUAAGUGGUAGAGCACAUGCUUAGCAUGCAUGAGGUCUGGGGUUCAAUCCCCAGUUCCUCCA
rnacentral:tRNA from 1 species